rnacentral:rRNA from 1 species
UAGGGAAUCUUCCACAAUGGACGCAAGUCUGAUGGAGCAACGCCGCGUGAGUGAAGAAGGUCUUCGGAUCGUAAAGCUCUGUUGUUGGUGAAGAAGGAUAGAGGCAGUAACUGGUCUUUAUUUGACGGUAAUCAACCAGAAAGUCACGGCUAACUACGUGCCAGCAGCCGCGGUAAUACGUAGGUGGCAAGCGUUGUCCGGAUUUAUUGGGCGUAAAGCGAGCGCAGGCGGAAUGAUAAGUCUGAUGUGAAAGCCCACGGCUCAACUGUGGAACUGCAUCGGAAACUGUCAUUCUUGAGUGCAGAAGAGGAGAGUGGAACUCCAUGUGUAGCGGUGGAAUGCGUAGAUAUAUGGAAGAACACCAGUGGCGAAGGCGGCUCUCUGGUCUGCAACUGACGCUGAGGCUCGAAAGCAUGGGUAGCGAACAGGAUUAGAUACCCUGGUAGUCCAUGCCGUAAACGAUGAGCGCUAGGUGUUGGGGACUUUCCGGUCCUCAGUGCCGCAGCAAACGCAUUAAGCGCUCCGCCUGGGGAGUACGACCGC